rnacentral:rRNA from 1 species
GCUGGCGGCGUGCCUAAUACAUGCAAGUCGUACGCCAGGUGUCAGAUAUCAGGGGUCAGAGGCCAGAAAGAAAGCCUCGAACGGAAAAAAGAUAAAAGCUUCCAAGCGAAGCCAGCAUCUGAAAUCCGGCAACUGAUAUCUGACAUCUGGAGUGGCGGACGGGUGAGUAACACGUGGGUAACCUGCCUCUAAGCCUGGGAUAACCUUUGGAAACAAAGGCUAAAACCGGAUAACUUUUUUCGUCGCAUGACGAGGAAAUAAAAAGUGCGUAUGCACUGGUUAGAGAGGGACCCGCGGCGCAUUAGCUAGUUGGUGAGGUAACGGCCCACCAAGGCAACGAUGCGUAGCCGACCUGAGAGGGUGACCGGCCACACUGGAACUGAGACACGGUCCAGACUCCUACGGGAGGCAGCAGUAGGGAAUCUUCCGCAAUGGGCGAAAGCCUGACGGAGCAACGCCGCGUGAGCGAAGAAGGCCUUCGGGUCGUAAAGCUCUGUCGUUAGAGAAGAACAAACUAUAGAGGAAAUGCUAUAGAACUGCCGGUACCUAACAAGAAAGCCCCGGCUAACUACGUGCCAGCAGCCGCGGUAAUACGUAGGGGGCAAGCGUUGUCCGGAAUCAUUGGGCGUAAAGCGCGCGCAGGCGGUCAUAAAAGUCCGAUGUGAAACCCUGGGGCUCAACCCCAGGCCUGCAUUAGAAACUGUAUGACUUGAGAGCAGAAGAGGAAAGUGGAAUUCCUAGUGUAGCGGUGAAAUGCGUA